rnacentral:other from 1 species
UGUCCCCUGCGGUGUUCGAGCUGGCCAUACAUUCUUUGAACCAAUGCUAACUUAGCGAGGUUGCCGUGCUUUCAACGGGCCGGUGUGCGCUCCCUACGCGGAAGCGCCUGAUGGCCCUGGCAGGCGACCCUCUUGAACUGCGGUUCAAGAUGAGGUUGGCACGGCACAGGCGGGGGACUC